rnacentral:rRNA from 1 species
GGAGGAUGCAAGCGUUAUCCGGAAUCAUUGGGCGUAAAGCGUCCGCAGGUGGUUUUUCAAGUCUGCUGUUAAAGACAGAAGCUCAACUUCUGAGAGGCAGUGGAAACUGGAGAACUGGAGUACGGUAGGGGUUGAGGGAAUUCCCAGUGUAGCGGUGAAAUGCGUAGAUAUUGGGAAGAACACCAGUGGCGAAGGCGCUCAACUGGGCCGUAACUGACACUCAGGGACGAAAGCUAGGGUAGCCAAAGGGAUUAGAUACCCCUGUAGUCCUAGCUGUAAACGAUGAACACUAGGCGUUGCUUGUAUCGACCCGAGCAGUGCCGUAGCCAACGCGUUAAGUGUUCCGCCUGGGGAGUACGCAGGCAACUGUG